rnacentral:lncRNA from 1 species
GGGGAAAUGAAUACCUCAGAGGGAACAUGGAGAACUUUCCAUCCUUUGUGUUCGAAGACACACUGUCCUUCCACUUCUCUGCCACCAGACCACCCUCUCAGCCCUCUGGGGAUAGAAAAGGAGAAGAGGACUCUGGAGUUGAGAGGUAGAAGCACCAUCCAGUGACCCCCUGGAAGGCCGCAAUCAAGAGGGCUCUCUUCUGACUCUGGUUCUGGGUGACCCCAUCUGUGGAUUGCAGGGGAGUCUGCUAAUGUUCUAUUUCAACUCUUACCCUUCUUGCUCCCUUGAGUAAUAGAACCCUGAAUUUAUUUGAGGCAGCAGUGUGCCCAGCUAAACAUUAAUCUCCCAGCCUCCCUUGCAGCUAAGCAUGGCCAUGUGACUAAGUUCUAUCCAAUGAGAUAUGAGCUAAAGAAUUGUAGGUGGAUUCUAGAGAGACUCAUUAAAGAGGAGGGGACCAUUUACCUCUUUUCACUCCUCCUUCCUGUUGUUUGGAAUGAGGUGAUGGUAGCUGAGCUCAAGCAGCCAUCUUGGACUCAGAAAUAACCUGAAGAUGAAAUCUUCCUGGUCGGGCUGGCACAGGCAAAGACAGAAGGACCCUGGGUCCUUGAGGAUCAAGGGCCACUCUUAGCCUGGACUGCCCACCUGCAGACUGAGAGAGGAGAACAUUUUAUCUUCUUUAAGCCUCUAUUUAGAGGUCUUUGUUAUUGUCAGCAAAGGCAAUUUCUAACUGAUGCAUGGAAUCGUCCAAUGCUGAGUUUUGGCUGUGGGUAAACAUGUUCAAAUUUCCUCUAAGGCCACUGCUACUUUUCCUCCUACCGUCUUUGGAAGGGUCAUCUCGCCCAAGAGGGCCCAAUUCUUUCACAUCUUUCCUCUCCUUUUUAGUUGUUUUCCUCUGUCUUCCUCUCUCUUUCUCUCUCUCUUCUUUCUUUCCCUUUUCCUCCUUCCCUCUAACAUUUAUUGACCAUCUGCUACGUUCCAGGUGCCAUGCUAGCUGCCAGGACCAGAAAUAGGUGCAGGAGACACUCCCUCCUCUCCAGCGCCUCAGAGUCCAGGCUGUCAGGAAAAUGUAAAGCAGCCUCGACUAAGGCAGAGCAGUGGGAUGAGCCGUGGAUGGGGAGCCAGCUUUGAUGUGGGUUCAAACCCCAGCUAGAAAUGACAGACACCGGAGGAGACCACCCAGCACUAAGACACUGGGUCACUCAGUGUCACCACCAGAGGCACGGAUGGAAGCAGGAGCUAAAUGGAGGGAAAGGCAUGGGCUUUCUCUGCUGGCCUUGCCACUGACUUCCAGGACUUAGCCUCAGUUUCUCCACCUGAGUCAGGAGCAAGUAAAGAGAUGGACAGCCCUCGGCAAGAGGUAGGCCUUAGGAAACAACCAGUGAAUGAGAGAGUGAAUGAGUGCAUGAAUGUGUGGGGACCACCUCAGUAUGACAGAAAGGGUGACCUGUCGGAGCCUCAAGGGUGGCGGUGGGAGCUCCCUGGGUUGGGGAGGGGCCCGUGACACCUGAGCCAACUCCGUUCGGACGGAGAAAGAGCAAGAGAAACACAACAGCAGAAGCUAGAGCAGGUGGAGAAGCGCAGAGGACCUGGUUCGCAGGAGGAGAGAAGCGAGGAGCUACAAUGAGGGGACUCCGGGACACCGCUCUUGGAAGCAGCGGGAAGGUGCAGGCGCGGGAUCUCAGAUGACCACCCAGUCGGCGGCCCGCGCGUCUUUCUCGCUCGACCAGGCCCCGCAGCGCCGCCUGGCGGACACGCGGCGCUCCGCCCGGGCUUCGGCGGCAGCCGGUCGAGGAGCUGGGGAUACCCGGCAGUUCAGGAAAAAGCCGGAGGGAGCCCGGGGGCGCGUCGCGGGAGGGACAUUUAUUCCCGGAGCGGGGCUGGCACCUCGGCCUGGACCCGCAGCACAUACUAGCACCCUCUCUUCACUAACCCCGCUCUCGGGAUGACUCAGCUACGUCGAACACGUCAGGGAACCCUUUCUCCCCUCAACUCCCGGCCCCCAGCUAUGGAAUUUUGCUGCCUCUGAGUAGCUUCUCCGGGAAGGCGGUCUCGUUAAAAUUUCAAGGCGUUUUGGUUUUGAUUUUUGUUAAUAAAAUAACAAGAGUGGGCGUGGAG